UUUUGUGUAAACAGCAAAACCUUUUUUUCUUGAAUGUUCUAUUUAAAUAAUUCAUAAUAAAUGACCAUGAUCUCUUUCAGAAUCUGUGAUGAUAUCUUGUUGAUUUCAUCUAGCUGGUGCUAUGGGGGAAGGGAUGGUGGCCUCACCUCAUAACCCGGAUUAACAAUUUCUUUGUUUUCAGAAACCAAUUAUGACCAAUUAUGUAAUGAUGUUUUCAUUAAUCGUGUUUUCAUUUCUGUGUUAACUCAACUCUGAGCAGAGAUGUCAAAAGUAAAAGUACUUUUGUGGUGUAAUUACAACACUUGCACAUGGUAUGCCUGUCUAUUACAUAGCUGUUACAGCAUUUACUCCAUUGUAACUAAUGGGAUAGAUGGACUGUACUAAAAAACACUGAAAACCUGACAAGGACCCACCAUAAACUUGAUCCAACCAGUGCACAGUUAGCUGAUCGCCAGACAAGUACACAAAUCUACUGUGUUUACUCAGAUAAGUUAUUUGUGUAGGAAGGAAACUUUGUGUCUUUUUUUACUUUUACUUUUGACACCUCUGACUCUGAGUCACUUAAUUAGUGCAGUAUGAAUGUUGUUUACCUCUUUCAGGUCAAGUCUGCCUGGAGAUACAGAGCCACAAGGCCGCAGGAGAAGAUACCAGGCGAAAUGAAAGAUGUGAAUACGUGUCGAAGAUGCAGAAUUCGGGACAUCAGAAAAACAGCUUGACGUGUUGCUGCACUUCCUUUCACCUGUAACCAAACUGUCAGUAAGUGGUUGAUGCAUGGUGUCACUAACUUGAUAUAUUUGAUUCUAGACACAUCUGGAGGGUGGACUGCAUGAUUAACAUUUGUACACACAUACAAUCUCAAUGUGGUUUUCUAUAGCAGGAUAUGGAUGCUCCAUUUCAAAGUUGUGUGUUGCCGGUGGAGUGGAUUGUGCUCUUGUGUGCAGGUGUGUGUUGGUGUUCCAAGCAGACGAGCAAGGCAUGAGCAUGAGGGCCAUGGGCUAGACGUAAGGAAGCAGAUGGGCAAGUCAAAGGCCAUGAACAAUGGAGACCGUGGGCGAAGAGUAGGUGGCAAGAUUAUCGGAGUGACCCUAUCAAGGCUCAAGAUUAUUCAAGCAACCCAACCUGCUUAUUUUGAGAUUUCAUGUGCUAAGAUUAAUAAAUCAUCAUUAUUAUACAAACAGUG